AACGAACGCUGGCGGCGUGCCUAACACAUGCAAGUCGAGCGCACCGCAAGGUGAGUGGCGCACGGGUGAGGAAUACAUGGGAAUCUACCUUUCUGCUCGGAACAACACCGGGAAACUGGUGCUAAUACCGGAUACGCCCUUCGGGGGAAAGAUUUAUCGCGGAGGGAUGAGCCCAUGUCGGAUUAGCUAGUUGGUGAGGUAAUGGCUCACCAAGGCGAAGAUCCGUAGCUGGUCUGAGAGGAUGAUCAGCCACACUGGGACUGAGACACGGCCCAGACUCCUUCGGGAGGCAGCAGUGGGGGAUAUUGGACGAUGGGGGAAACCCUGAUCCAGCAACGCCGCGUGAGUGAUGAAGGUCUUCGGAUUGUAAAGCUCUUUUGGCAGGGACGAUGAUGACGGUACCUGCAGAAUAAGCUCCGGCUAACUUCGUGCCAGCCGCCGCCGUAACAC
rnacentral:rRNA from 1 species